rnacentral:rRNA from 1 species
AUGCCUCGGAAGCAUUUGAGAGAUGGCAACGCAGCCUAUGACACGGGGAGCUCGCUGUACGACUCCUACGAGCUGGCCUCCGUCAACAGGAUCCUGGACCGCCACCUCGCUGUAGCUGGUCCGCCGUCUCCUGGUGAGUCCCGGCGGGAGGGGCCUCCCAUGGAGGGAAAGAACCAGCAAGUCGUGGCGUUCAGGGCCCGCAGGAAGGUGACGCUGAGGGCUCUCUUCAGGGGAGUGGCCUCGUGGGCGGUCAGGCCGAGAACGCGGCCGCGUGCUUGCGCCUGUGUCGGUGUUGCUCCGGCUCGCAGUAGUGCGGUUGGAUCUGAAAGAUGGUGA